GCGAAGGCAAGCGGAUCUCUUAAAGCUGUUCUCAGUUCGGACUGCAGUCUGCAACUCGACUGCACGAAGCUGGAAUCGCUAGUAAUCGCAGAUCAGAAUGCUGCGGUGAAUACGUUCCCGGGUCUUGUACACACCGCCCGUCACACCAUGGGAGUUGGAAAUGCCCGAAGCCAGUGACCCAACCGUAAGGAGGGAGCUGUCGAAAGUGGAGCCGAUGACUGGGGUGAAGUCGUAACAAGGUACC
rnacentral:rRNA from 1 species